CAAAAGCUUGAUCCUGGCUUUACUAUUCACUACAAGUAUAUUUAUACAUGCAAGUAUCCGCCCUCCUGUGAAUGCGCCUUUACCUUCUCCGCCUGAAAGUAAAGAGCCGGUAUCAGGCUCAUAAAUUAGCCCACAACACCUCGCUUAGCUACACCCCCAAGGGAACUCUGCAGUAAUCAACAUUAAGCAAUGAACGUAAGAUCGACCUAGUUAAACUCAAAAUAGAACUGGUAAAUCUCGUGCCAGCCACCGCGGUCACACGAGAAGUUCAAGUUAAUAAGUCCAAGCAUAAAAAGUGGUAAUUAAACAAUUUAAAAUAAAGCUGAACCUUUUUUUUACUGUAAAACGAUAUAAAAACAUGAAACCCUUCCACGAAAGUUGCUUUAUCCAUUUAAAACCACUAAAACUAUGGAACAAACUGGGAUUAGAUACCCCACUAUGCAUAGCCUUAAACUUAAAUAUAUUAUACACCUAUCCAUAUAUGUUUGCCGGAAAACUACGAGCAGAAGCUUAAAACUCAAAGGAUUUGGCGGCGCUUUAAAUUCCCUAGAGGAGCUUGUCCUGUAAUCGAUAAUCCCCGCUAAACCUUACCUUCUCUUGCCUUCAGCCUAUAUACCGCCGUCGUCAGCCCACCCUCUGAAGAUCUAACAGUAGGCGAGAUCGGCCCAGCCCCAAACGUCAGGUCAAGGUAUAGCAUACGAGAAGAGAAGAGAUGAGCUACAUUUCCUAACCAGGGUUACGGAAAAUCUAUUGAAAAAUAGAUUUAAAGUAGAAUUUAGCAGUAAGUAAAAAAUAGAGUGUUUUACUGAAGUUAAAAUUAAUGCGUGCACACACCGCCCGUCGCUCUCUCCUAACUUUAACUUAAAUUAUAAAUAAACCCCUAUAACUAUUAAAGGAGAGAAAAGUCGUAACAUGGUAAGUGUACUGGAAAGUGCGCUUGGUUAAA
rnacentral:ncRNA from 1 species